GGAAUAUAAUUUAGUUGGUAGAGUGUUUACCUCACAUGAACAAGGCCCUGGGUUCAAUCCCCAGCACCA
rnacentral:tRNA from 1 species